rnacentral:pre_miRNA from 1 species
CGAUGAUGACGAUGAUUAUGAUGACGGAGCGUUGAGCGUUAAGAUGAUAUGUAAGAAAUAUUAACGUUCAACGCUCCGUCAUCGUAAUCAUCGUCA